CCUAUCUUCUGAUGUCAUUACUUGAGUCAACAACAGGACUAACUUUCACAUGGGUCGACAGUUAACGUUUAAUGGAAUUACUGAAUGGAGAUCAAUGCUGUUUUCUUGUUAGGACAACUGUUAAAUAUAAAAUGUCACUCUUUUUUUACACUGGCGGGCCCAGUUAGUGCCUGCUUUUUCUUUGUAUUAUUAUCAUUUGAAUGAAUGUUCGAUAUGAACACAGCCAGAACUGACGUUGAUAAUGGUCAGCAUCAGGAGUUUCCAGGAAAUGCCCAAUUGUGAUCUUCAAGAGCGAAAGGAACUGAGAGACGGCCAGGCCAUGGUGGAAGACACCGGCUGUUCACACCAGAACAGGAGACCGCUAUUGUGAACAUGGUGGUGGCAAACAAUGCCAUUAGACUACGAGAAAUCCAGAACCACAUAAUUGCAGACAACAGAAUAUUCAAUAACAUUCACCAGGUGGGCUUGUCUACAUUGGACCGUGUAUUACAGCGCAACCGAAUCCGGAUGAAACAGGUCUACAGGGCGCCAUUUGAGCGAAACUCAGUGUUAAAAAACAGCCAUAUGAAUAUUUAUAGUCUUGGAGCUGGAUGCCGUUGCAAUUCAGCAUGUUUAUAUUUACAUUGAUGAGGCUGGCUUCAACCUAGCCAAAAGAAGGGGACGGAACAUUCACAAUGGCCAAUAAUGUUCCUGGACAGUGUUGAGGGAAUAUCACCAUGUGCGUAGCCGUUAGCCAGCAAGGCGUCCUCCAUCACCAUGCCAACCUUGGUCCCUACAACACCCCCCUUCUCAUCACAUUCCUGGACACACUACAUGGCAUCAUCAUUUCAGUGAAGCAGAGGGGUGGACCAGAGCAGCCCAGGUAUGUUGUCAUUUGGGACAAUGUGAGUUUCCACCUGGCUGCUCUGGUCCGCAACUGGUUCAUCGACCACCCACAAUUGAUUGUUCUAUACCUCCCACCAUAUUCCCCAUUCCUAAACCCAACUGAAGAGUUUUUUUCAGGAUGGCGAUGAAAGGUGCAUGACCUCCAUCCCCUCACACGCAUGCCUUUUCCCCAGGCAAUGGAGGGUGCAUGACCUCCAUCCCCUCACACGCAUGCCUUUUCCCCAGGCAAUGGAGGGUGCAUGACCUCCAUCCCCUCACACGCAUGCCUUUUCCCCAGGCAAUGGAGGGUGCAUGACCUCCAUCCCCUCACACGCAUGCCUUUUCUCCAGGCAAUGGAGGGUGCAUGACCUCCAUCCCCUCACACGCAUGCCUUUUCUCCAGGCAAUGGAGGGUGCAUGACCUCCAUCCCCUCACACGCAUGCCUUUUCUCCAGGCAAUGGAGGGUGCAUGUGGUGAAGUUGCUGUGGGGGCUUUCGGCGGCUGAAUCCGUCACUCCAGAAGAUUCUUUCCCCGCUGUUUAGCCAGGGAGAACAUGGCUUGUGAUGUAGAUGAGGUGCUGUGGCCAGACCAAAAUAGGAGGCAGGAUGCAGCCUACUUGCAAAACUAUAUAUUUGCAGAACAUGUUUUCAAAUGCUAACACACUGUUUCCAAACUGUUAAAAAAACAUUCAAAACAGAAUGAUGGCAAAUGUCGUGCAUUUCUGCAGUAACCAGAUUGAAACAUAUAGAACAUCUUGGCAGAAUAUAGAAUUAUUCCAAACACAGCUGAUUGCAAUUUCAGCUGAAAGCCUAUCCAAGUGUCCUGUUUUUAGUCUCGUUACCAAACAGACAAAAGAGGACGACUUUGGAAUGAUUUAAUUUGGAAAGAUGGAUCAAGGAAGACAGGUUGGUGGGGAUAGAAGAGUGACAGGGAGAGGGAGAAUGCGUGGAUGACAAAGGAGAGGAAGACCAAGCGGUGAUCUCUGAUGAGAUAAGGUCCACAAUUAUUGACCAUGUUGUAAACCAUGGUCUCUCUUUGAGAGAGGCAAGUUUAAAGGUGCAACCAAACCUGCAGCGUUCAACAGUUGCAUCAAUGGUACAAAUUUUCUGGCAAAACAACAGGUGAGAUGUACUUACAUGUACUUACAUUUUGAAAUAUAUUGACUGUUUUGUGUUUUUCAGUAGGAUCCAAAGGUUGCCUCCCACAGGAGGGAGAAGCAAAAUAUUAUCAGAUACUGUCACGUUCCUGACCUAUUUUUGUUAGUUUGUUAUAUGUGUUAGUUGGUCAGGACGUGAGUUUGGGUGGGCAUUCUAUGUUUUCUGUUUCUGUGUUGGUUUAUUGGGUUGCCUGGUAUGGCUCUUAAUUAGAGGCAGGUGUUUGGCGUUCCUCUAAUUAAGAGUCAUAUUUAGGUAGGCGUUGUCACAGUGUUCGUUGUGGGUGAUUGUCUUCCGUGUCUGUGUCUGUACACCACGCAGGACUGUUUACGGUUUGUUCGGUUUGUGUAGCCUAUGUUCCUAUUCGUGCGUUUUUCUUGUUUUUAUGUAAGUACGUCGUCUAGGUCUGUCUACACCGUUUGUUGUUUUUGUUAGUUUAAUCAAGUUCGUGUUUCGUUAAUAAAAUAUGUCUUUUCACUACGCUGCGCCUUGGUUCCCUCAAUACUCCUCCUCUUCAGAUGAAGAGGAGGAGGACUGCCGUUACAGAAUCACCCACCAAGAAUCCAGAACCAAGCAGCGUAAUUUGGAGCAACGGGGAAGUAUACAGGACUUGUGGAGUUGGGAGCAAAUAUUUAACGGAGAAGGACCAUGGGCUAAAGUGAAUCACCGUCCAUGGGAACAGCUGGAGGCAGCUCGGAGAGUGGAGGAAAAGAGAGAGAGGAACCGGAGUUAUGAGGGAACACGUCUUGCACGGAAGCCCAAAAAGCCCGUGAGUAACACCCAAAAAUUUCUUGGGGGGGGCUAAGAGGUAGUGGGCCAAGGGCAGGUAGGAGACCUGCGCCCACUUCCCAGGCUUACCGUGGAGAGCGGGAGUACUGGCAGGCGCCGUGUUACGCAGUAGAGCGCACGGUGUCUCCUGUACGAGUGCAUAGCCCAGUGCGGGUGCGGGUUAUUCCACCUCCCCGCACUGGUAGGGCUAGAUUGGGUAUUGAGCCAGGUGUCAUGAGGCCGGCUCAACGCGUCUGGUCUCCAGUGCGUCUCCUCGGGCCGGCAUACAUGGCACCUGCCUUACGCAUGGUUUCCCCGGUUCGCCUACAUAGGCCGGUGCGGGUUAUUCCACCUCCCCGCACUGGUCAGGCGACCGGGAGCAUUCAACCAGGUAAGGUUGGGCAGGCUCAAUGCUCAAGAGUGCCAGUACUCCACGGUCCGGUAUUUCCGGUGCCACCUCCCCGCCCCAGCCUAGUACCUACAGUGCCUACACUACGCACUAGGCUACCAGUGCGUCUCCUGAGCCCAGUUCCUCCUCCACGCACUCUCCCUGUAGUGCGUGUAUCCAGUUCGGUGCCUCCAGUUCCGGCACCACGCACUAAGCCUCCUGUGCGUCUCCA